rnacentral:rRNA from 1 species
UACAGAGGUGCCAAGCGUUAGGCGGAAUCACUGGGCUUAAAGCGUGUGUAGGCGGAUCGUUAAGUGUCUUGUGAAAUCCCACGGCUCACCCGUGGAACGGCUGGGCAUACUGGCGAUCUUGGGCCAACUAGGGGCAACUGGAACAAGCGGUGGAGCGGUGAAAUGCGUAGAUAUCGCUUGGAACGCCAAAGGUGAAAACAGGUUGCUGGGGUUGUGCCGACGCUGAGACACGAAAGCCAGGGGAGCAAACGGG